rnacentral:lncRNA from 1 species
CACCUGGCUGCACUGUACUCAUUGACCGGUUUGAGGCCACCGUCGCUCCCGUUGGCGUUCUUGAGGUCGUGGACGGAGCGGCUCUUGUUGACAUUCUUGACGUCCCGGAAGGAGCCACCAUCACUGGUGUCGCUGAAGUUCUUGAGGUCGCGUACCGAUUUGUCGUUGUUGACGUUCUUGAGGUCGGAUGCGGAUUUGCCGUUGUUGAAGUUCUUGAGGUCGCGUGGGGAUUGGCCGUUGUUGAAGUUCUUGAGGCAGCGGGUUGAGCCGGCGUUGCUGAUAUUCUUGCGCCCGCAGGCGAAACUGCCAUUGCUGGCGUUCUUGAUGCGGCAGAGGGAGACACCCUUGCUGACGAUCUUGAUGCCGCAGACGUAGCCGCCCUUGGUGAUGUUGUUGAGGCCACGAGCGGAGCCACCGUUGUUGGCGUUCUUGAGGUAGCCGCCGGCGUUGGUGUUCUUGAGGUAGCCGCCGGCGUUGGUGUUCUUGAGGUAGCCGCCGGCGUUGGUGUUCUUGAGGUAGCUGCCGGCGUUGGUGUUCUUGGGGUUGUGGGUGGACCCGCCGGUGACCUCGCCUUCUUCUGACCGAGAAACCUUCCUGGCAACAUGACAGGAUAUUGAUCUUCUUCUUCGAGAUGAGGUGAGGUGAGCUGAGUGGGGUGGAUAUGGUGUUUGGUUUUGCUCCGGUUGAGUCGAGGGAGCCCGCAUCCAUGGUAAUGUAUAUAUAGGAGAAGAAUGGUGUGUUGACGUGUUCAACCGCUCUGUCUCUUUUGUUUUGUUGAGUAUGUAUUAGAUAUUUUUUUUUUAGAAAAGGAGGCUUCCCCCGGCCUCUGCAUCGAGUGAUGCAUACAGCCAUUUAUUUAAUAACCGAAAAGAUCUGAAGUUGGUACAAAGUCGAAAGAAAAAGGAAAAAUAAAUUACAAGGCGAUCAACGCCCAAGCCAAAAAGAUGGAUAGGAGUAGCUGACUAAAUCCCUAUUCUAUCAGCAUGCCGCCAUCCAUAUCGGCUGAAGAUAGCCUGAGCUACCAUCUUCCAUCGGGCACACCCAGUAACCAAAGGCUCCCUGGUUUCCACAGGAGUGAGUAAGGACCACAUGCGAAUCCAGUCGGUAGCUCCGAAGAUGACCUGCAAAAGGUGAAUAGAUUGUUGUCUGUUAAAAACUAGGUCAUUUCUGCAGUUCCAUAUAGCCCAUAGAAGUGCAGAAGUUCCAACUCGGAUUAGCUUAGCGAACGAUAUAUUAACCCCGUCAAGCCAUGUCCCAAAUAACAUGUUAAUGCUAGUAGGUGGGAUAAUGUUAAAAGCAAUAUGGAUUGAGCGCCAUAAUAUUUUAGCCAUGGGGCAGUCCAGAAAGAGGUGCUUGAUAGUUUCAUAUGCCUGACAGAAGCUACAUCUCCGAUUUCCUUUCCAAUUUCGCUUGGCCAAGUUAUCCUUAGUUAAAACAACUCCUUUGUGGACAAACCACAAAAAGAUUUUUAACUUAAGGGGAACCUUAACGUUCCAAAUAUGUGAAGAUUUUGGAAUAAGUGAACUAUCAAUAACAUGGUCAUACAUUGAUUUCACGGAGAACGUACCAUUGGAGGUCAGUUUCCAAACAAUCCUAUCCGGGUCAUCACAAAGACUAACAUCCAUCAGCCUUCUGACUAGAUGUAACCAUCUGGCCCAUCUAGUACCUAUCAAGGAUCUGCGAAACUGAAUGUUGAGAGGCGUCUCAUGUAACACUGCCGCAACAGUCGCCUGCCUGCGCUGGGCAAUGUUAUACAGCUGCGGAUAUUGAAGGGCCAGGGGCUCGUCACCUAGCCAGAUAUCCUCCCAGAAUCUAGUAGAUUCACCAUUGCCGAUGAUGAAUUUAGUCCUGUUAAAAAAAGUUGUUUUUGUCUUCAUGAGACCCUUCCAAAAAGGUGAAUCUCCAGGUCUCACAGUGACCUGAGCUAAGGUUUUUUGCUGUAGAUACUUGUUCUUCAGAAUUUGUAUCCACAUACCUUCUGAUUCCACAGAUAGUCUGAAAAGCCACUUGCUGAGCAGACACCUGUUUUUAACCUCUAAGUUUUCAAUCCCCAACCCUCCCUGAUCUUUGGGCCUACAAAUAAUAUCCCAUCUAGCCAGCCUAUAUUUGGUCUUGACCUCAUCACUCUGCCAGAAAAAUCUUGAUCGGUAAAAAUCCAGCCUUUUUCGUACCCCUACUGGUACUUCAAAAAAGGAUAGAAGGAACAUUGGCAUACUUGUCAAUACUGAAUUAACUAAAACCAAUCGUCCUCCGUAGGAUAAUAGCUUGCCCUUCCAGCAGCUCAGUUUUUUUCAAACCGAUCCUCGAUGCACUUCCAUUCUUUAAUAGAUAAUUUUCGGUGAUGAAUAGGGAUUCCUAAGUACGUAAAUGGUAACGUACCACCCUCGCAACCAAAAAGUUGGUUAUAAGUGAGUUGUUCAUCUUUCGCUUCCCCAAAGCAAAAGAGUUCACUUUUAAAGAAGUUAAUUUUCAGCCCAGAUAGCUGUUCGAAUAAGCAUAAUAUUAACUUCAUGUUUGUGGCUUUUUUGAGAUCAUGUUCCAUGAAAAGGAUUGUGUCAUCCGCAUAUUGUAGGAUGGAGACACCCCCAUCGACUAGAUGUGGCACUAGUCCCCCUACUAACCCUUUAUCAUUAGCCCUCCUGAUCACUAGCGCUAACAUAUCUGCUACGAUGUUAAAUAAAAGGGGUGACAUAGGGUCUCCCUGCCUGAGACCCUUUAGUGUCUGAAAGAAAUGACCUACAUCAUCAUUCACUUUAAUACCGACACUACCCUUUUGUAUAAAACGAUCUAUAUGUUUUUGCCAAAUCUCGCAAAACCCCUUCAUACGUAGAGUUUGUUGCAAGAAAGACCAUUUGACUUUAUCGUACGCCUUUUCGAAGUCUACCUUAAAUAAAACUCCGUUAAGCUUCUUGGAAUGUAAUUCGUGAAGGGUUUCAUGGAGAACAACCACCCCUUCAAGAAUAUUCCGACCAAGCAUGAAGGCCGUCUGCGAAGAUUGCACCACAGAAUGUGCCAUCUUAGUUAACCUAUCUGUUCCCACCUCUGUGAAAAUUUUGAAGCUAACAUUAAGCAGACAUAUGGGACGAAAUUGUUCAAUACGCGAAGCACCCUCUUUGUUUGGUAGCAACGUUAUCGUACCAAAAUUAAGAUGAAAGAGUUGUAAGUGCCCGGAGAACAAAUCGUGAAACAUUGCCAUGAGAUAUUUCUUAAUAAUAUGCCAACAUCUCUUACAGAACUCAGCUGGGAACCCAUCCGGUCCCGGCGCUUUACCGUUUUUCAUAGCCUGAAUCGCCUGGAGCACCUCUUUCUCUAGAAAAGGAGCGGAUAGACACUCAUUAUCGGCUUGUCCAAUCUGAGGAAUAUCCGCGGUUUGAUGCUCGUCCAUAGACACAUAACUAUGAGACGGAGCACCAAACAACCUUUUAUAAUAGUUUGAGAUGUACAACUUUAGAUUCUCAUGACCUACUAUUGUACCCUCAUCUUGCUCAAGUUGUAUAAUCCUCUUUUUCCGAUGCUUGCCAUUUGCAAUCAAAUGGAAAAACUUAGUGUUGUCAUCACCCUGGACCAUUGCCCUAACAUUGCUCUGACAGCCCAUUUCAUUUCCUCUUCUCAAAGAAGGAUUCGAGCUCUUUGUUCAGCCUUGUACUUUAACGCCCUCUCUUGAUCAUCCAGCAUACGAGUUUCUGCCUGACGAUCUCGAUUAUCUAUAAGUUUGAGCAGUCUGUCUUGCUCAUCUCGAUAAGCUCCAGAUAUAUUCUUAGCCCAACCUCUCAAGAAUUGUCUAAGAUGUCGUAUUUUAUUUUGCCAGACAUCCACACUAGAGUUCCCACCCGCAUACUUAUUCCAUUCCAUAGAAAUCAUGUCCACAAACCCCUCACGUGUGAACCAGCUUGAUUCAAAAGAGAAAGCAUCAUUCCUCCCUUUGUGAGUGGCUUGGCCAGAAUCUAGUAAGAGAGGGGUGUGGUCAGAUAUAGCUCUUUGAAGUGCACAUACUGUGACUAGCGGGAAUUUCUGUUCCCAGUCAACACUCGUAAGUACCCUAUCCAACUUUUCAAAAGUUUGAGUAGGUAGAGAGUUGGCCCAAGUAUAUUUCCUACCAGAGAGAUCAAUCUCCCGUAAGUUGAGACUCUCUAUGAUUGUGUUGAACAUAAAAGGCCAUCUGCCAUCAAAGUUAUCAUUGUUCUUCUCAUCAGCUCUCCUGAUGAUGUUAAAAUCACCACCUACCACUAGUGGUAAAGUUUCAUCGCAAAUUCGAACCAAAUCAGCCAGAAAAGCUGGCUUUUGCUCUGCUUGUGUGGCCCCAUAAACCGCAACCAGAGCCCAUUGGAAUCCAUCUUCCUUGGUUCUAAUUCGAAAUUUGACUGAGAACUCCCCUAGCACCACUUCCCGAACUUGAAGUGUAUGACACCGGACUCCAAGUAAGAUCCCUCCGGACCUUCCUCUUGGAGGGAGACAAUGCCAAUCGAAUUCAACACCUCCCGAAAGAGUGUUUAGAAAUUGCGAUGUGAAAUUGUCCCGACCCGUCUCCAUCAACGCGAUGAAGUCAAGACUAUGAUGUAUCGUAGUUUCUGCAAGGAACCGAAUUUUAGCCAAGUCUCUCAGACCUCUGCUAUUCCAAAACAUUCCUUUCAUAUUUCAUCGUGGAAUUUUUUAGCAGUCUUGAAUCUAGCACUCCUAUGAAUUGCAGAGACAGUAUAAACUCUCUUUUUAUAAGUGCGUUUUGGCUUUUCAGAAACAUACUCCUGGUCCAUAUAACCAGUCGUAUUUUCGGGACCCUCAUUUGGUGUAGGUUUUGAUUGCUGAUUGAUGUGUAAAACCUCCUGAGACACCUCUCUAUCCUCAGGUGAGACUAAAUUAUCACAGAAUAAAUUCAAACCUCCCAUGUUAGAUAUUGCGUCAUCAUUCAUAGGUUUAAUGGCAGCUAGGGUUCGAAUAAUAUCCAAAGGCCUAUCAACUUCUAAGUCCAACAAGUCAUUAAUAGAUUUGGAAAUUUCUUUGCUAUUGCUACCCAAAUUGACUCCCACAGCUGUGGCAUUAUCUAUAAUAUCUUGCGGGGGAAAAUGAAGAAUAGAAUGCUCAGUAUUGAUGGACAUACCUGUCGAAUUCUGAACAUCCUUCAUUCUAGCCGCCCUCAUAGCACGCCCAAUCUGCAAGUCAUCCACGUCUGGCUGGGCUUGUACCCGAUGACUGGUCCUUCUAUCUGGACCCAUCGGAUCUGGAACUCCACCAAAAGCUAUGACUUCAUCAACUGAGAUCUCAACAGGCUGGGCUGCCAAAACUGUAGGAGUAUCAUCACCCUCUCCCAGUGACUGACGAAACGUCCCAGUAAGUUCAUCCUCGGAGGCCAAGCUCGCCUCUCCAUUCUCUGCAUCCUCUAAUUCAGCUCCCAGGUCGCCUCUAGAAAUCGGCGCUAACUGGAGCAUGCAAGCAUGCGCGUCACCCUGCGCUUGGCAAUCGGCCGCCGCCGUGUAGCCUGCAUCAGCAGCUAUGCGAUCAGCCGCAUGUUGAACAUGCCCAGCCGUGCACGACACCUCGUGCUCUUGUGCAUCCCCACCCCUGCAAGUACCAUCUUCCAUCAUCGCAGUAACAAGAGGAGACAGAGGUGGUGCAGGUGCAGCGCCAAACGCCGGAGUGGGAACCUCCCCAGCUCCUUGCUCUCUGACAGUAGCAUCUCCAACUACACUUACACUCCGCUCUGGAUCAACCUCCUUAUCUGACUGCAUAAUCUUAGGUGGGUUACUAACAAGCUUUGCAUCAGCGAGAUAUGCCUCCAACGAAACCGGUUGCAACGUAUUAGUAGACUGCAGAAUACCUAUGUUGCCCCGAGGAGACUUUCCUGUGAACCUGGGAAGUCUUGAAGGCGUGUGCAUGGGCCGACCAACUUUUGCCGACGCAGAUGCAGGUUUAAAAGAUCCGAACCGCAACUCCAGAUGAGAAGCAGAAACCCCGUGUUUAGUACCCGUGCCUGAGGUUUGCAUCCCCUGAGUGGGUUGAGCAUUCUUCUGAGAUGAAAAAGUGGGCCCUGACUCAAAAGGAGUGUCACUCUCCUUGGCACCAUCUGCAUCAUCUCCAUCGGUCAUAUUGGUAUCUUUAUCUUGAACUGGUGAAUCAAAAAGAGUGGGGCUCUCUAUUUCCAAUUGGAGAGUGUACCGCAUCCCCUCAAAAGUCCACAUGACCUGAUCUGGAAUGAUUUGAAUAUCCAGCACACUCACAAGCAUCCUCGCGAUGCCUUUGGCUCUAGUGAACACCAUAUCCACCUCCUCCGUUUUACCAAUUAGCGAACCCAAACUCCAUACCACUCUAAAGUCAUUCAUCGCCCUGGUAGGAGCACCUGCAAAGUGGACCCAAAUCUGAGGUAGAGGAACGCCCUUUGGCUCCUCACACUUCCAGGCAUCAAACUCAAGUACGCAACUUGUGCUAGCCACUCUGCACAUACCGAACUUAAGCAAGCGAGCCAAGUCCUCCUUAGUAGGAAAAACGACCUUAAAGACAUUAUCUGAUAUCAAAACCGGUUCCCACCGGAAAGUGGAUGAUACAAGUUCCUUAAGCUGUUGCACCACCUGCUCCAUGGUUAAGACUCCCCGAGUCACCGUCACCGUGCCCGUGAAACCAGCAUCUGGUGUGUGAAGUGUUGCCGUUGCCGCCGGCGACUCGAAAAACAUUAACUCUUGACUAGAAACACCAUAGAUGGUUACCACCGGCAAACUCUGAACCGUAAGGGGACACUUAGCCUCACCAUGCGUCGGCUUAAGACAAUUCACACAAAGCUCAGCCUUGCACUCGGACACAAAGUGCCCCGCCUCACUGCAACGAUAGCACACCAUCUUCUCUUUCUUGCGCGCCCACUUGGAGGGCCGAUCACCUCCCUCGCCUUUUGCUACCGCAGGAGCCUGUUUAGGGACUACUGGAUCAGCCGCCACCUUCUCAGGAAUAAUCUCCUUAGCCGCGUCAUCCGCCGGCGGUUCUUGAGCAGGCAAAGGAGGCCUAGGCUUCCUACCUCCACCUUUGCCCGCCCAAUUGUGUCGAAAGCCCCCUCUCUUGUGAUAAGAAGGACCCGACGUCCCCGGCACAAAAUUCCCCGGCGGUGCAGUAAAAGGCUUGUUCUGUCCAUUAUUCAAAGUUGCAUGCCCACGGCCGCCACCAUAGGAUGAUGACCCGCGAAAUUGACCGUCCCCAUACGAGCUACCGCCGUCACAGCCCCAACGGCCGCGCUGCUGCAUGUGCUGAUCCCCAUGCUCCCCUGCCUGACCGGGAGGCACAGGCUGCCGUCCUGUCUGAGUAGCUGCUGGUGUACGUGCCAUCUGCGUUGCAGCAGGUUUUGCAAUGGGGGGCGAUCCCCUUGCCCAGAGGGUCGAGGCUGCGCAGCCGGCGGUGGCCUGGGAGUGCCCCUGCCUGCCAUCGCGACAGAAGGAGGAGGCGGCACUCAUGCAGCGCGUCCCAGACCCAGCGACGGAAAGCCAGGCUGUAAUCACCGAGGAACCCUAGGCUCAGGCGUUGCCGUGCAUGCGAAACUCCCCUGAUGCGAGACGCCGAAACCAGCCGCUGGGACGGAGAUAUCUGUCGUUGGCGUAGGUAACGCCUGGGCCAUAUACCCAGGGCUUACGCUGUCCGACAUGGACUCUAUGUUAGGGAUUUCUUCUUGGGCCAUAUACCCAAUAGCGUUGUCAGAGAUAGAUUCCAAUACAGUGCUCGCAGCCUCCGAUGCCGAUUUCAAAAAAGCCUCCCUUUGGAAACGCAUCUCAAUCAGCGUGGAACCCGGCUUAAUCAACGCUGAUGCCGUAGGUUUCGGGCAUGCCAAGCUGUUCUUCUUCCUUCCCUUGGCUAGGCACCAUCCCGGCUCAGGGAAGAAAUCGGACAGCGGAAUCGGUUUCAGGUUCAUCGGUGGCAAGGGGCCGAUCCAUGGACGAACCUUAUGCGUCGGCACCUCCUUCUUCGAGCCCCUAGCCUGAGUUCUAACACGUCUGAUGGAACCCGGCUCCCAGCGAGGAACAUCAGCAAUAGCAGUUGAAAGAUCGAAUUCCUCGCAAUUAAUCUCUUCUACCUCGUCAUCAGAUUCUUGAUCUGCAAGAACCCAAAAACAGCCUCCAAACCGAGGUGAAUUAUCAGUACUCACCUUGCUUAUGCGAAGAUCCCCUUGAUGGCCCUCAAGAAAGUCCUUAACGAUGAGGGAGAAGCCAUCUAUCUCCAUAGUAUGCCCGAUCUUCGGAUAUUCCUCGUCUUGCAAGUAACGGCCUGCGAGAAUAUCGUUAUCUUCGUCACGAAUGGUGAUCCAGCGAGAUACCUGAUGAAGUUUGAUGGCUCCUGAUCUCUGCACACGCUCCUCGAAGGAGGUGUCGACGAAGGACACCGUCCAGGUCCCAUGCGAGUCCCUGCUGUCCGCCGGUGGCCGGAGAUGAGUCUCCGGUCUGCCCUCCGAGGGACAAGGAGAGAGCCCCGUCGGUCGCCCCCGAGACCGCCCCUCCUAGCGCCUCGGUCGUCAUCUCCCCCUUGCUCGGCCUCAUGUCAUGGUGAUCGGCGGAGUACUCCCCCGAACGGGCCGCGUCCCACUCGAACGGCCCGCCGCCCUCUCCUUUGCGCCUCGAUCUGCUGCGCCCGACGCGGCCCUGGAGCCCGGAGUCGGACAGUGCGGCAGCGGCGGCGACGGGGCAGCUGCUCAUCCACCGCGAGGGGUGGGGCNGUAGGACGGGGGGAGGGAGUCAGAUUUAAAUCAUAAUCUUUAAAAUGGGAGAGAUUUUUACUUCCCGGCCUCUGCACCAACAAGGGAUGCAUAGGGUCAUUUUAGUAUGAGUACCAAGAUAAACAUGGUCCUCGGAAUUUUUUUUAAAUGAGUAUCAAGAUUUUUUUGAUGAGUGGUUUUACCACACGCCAAACUUGAUCCUCAAUAAAUGGGAGAAAACUCCCUGUGCAUCACCUGUCAAUUUUAGGAAUUGAACUCGGAUAGUUGGGCUGCACAACGCAUGCCCAACCACUGAGCCAAGGCUCUCUUUGCGUAUGUAUUAGAUAUGCAUAUUUCAAUUAAUGCAUAAGUUAUUGACGGAUGGAUGGACUGACGGAUGGAUGGAUGCGGUUGGUCAAUGGUAUGGUCAUCGCCGCGUUGAUCUACAUUUCUUAUAGAUCAGAAUUAGUGUUAGGUGGAGGUUAGGAAGCAGAUGGAUAAUAGAGCAAGGAUAAAAUUAUAAUUACAUACAAAAUAAAAAAUGGUUUUGUUGGACUUCUUCUUCGAGAUGAGGUGAGGUGAGGUGAGUGGGGUGGAUAUGGUGUUUG